ACCAACUCGAUGGACAUGAGAUUGAGCCAGCUCUGGGAGUUGGUGACGGACAGGGAAGCCUGGUGUGCUGCAGUCCAUGGGGUUGCAAAGAGUCGGACGCGACUGAGCGACUGAACUGAACUAUAAAUUAAGAGGCUAAGUAUGGGGCAUGAGCUGUAACCAACAAGACAGACACAGUUCCUACUUAGGGACAGGAGAGGAAAUCAUAAACCAAAGAGGAAAAAAACAUUUUAUAUUUGAUUAAAGUAAUAUAGCAACAAUGACAGGAAACAAUUACAACACCAGGUCUGAGUAAAUCCUUGCAAAUAUGGGGUUUACAAACAGCAUAUCUUAAUGCAAGGCCUAACUCAGAAUUGUGGCAAUCUUCCCCUCAGAGGGACUAUGGAAGCAGCACAGCCAGGAGAAGGCUCUGGAAGAGGUAAGUGGCUCUGGGUUUUUUGGGUUUUUUUUCCUGCCAGCACUUUCUACCCUUCCGAGUACGAGACAGUAUGCCCAGUGGGAAUAUGGCCAAAGAUGGCUGCUUACAACACUGAAGCCUCAGCUACAGUAAUGGGUCCAAGUGUAGACACGUGACUCGAUAAGAAAAAUCAUAGCAGCCCACUUCUGAGCUGGGCUGCAGUGCUUGGUCCACGUGUGGUCACGUAACCUAAGCAGGGCCAAGGCAGGAUUGUUUUAAGUAGAGCUGGGGAGAGGAUUGCUUUUCCCAGCCACUCACCAGCAUCCAGAGCUACUAGUGACUGCAAAGACUGAGGCCAACAUGGAGGAAGGGAGGAACACGGGAUGGGAUGGGGGUUUGGGGAGGAGACAGACUGGCGCUGCGUUCUGUCCCUGGAUCCAAGAGUGACUCAGCCUCUCUUGUCCUUCAGCAUGGAUACCUGAGUAAUGAAUCCCCCAUCAUACCUCAGUCAGAUCAGCUCUGGUUCUGUAUGCACCAGAGCAUCCCAAUUCAGGACUUGGGAACUGUUUUUUCCUUCUCAUGGACCGUGUGAAGCUAAGCAGGGUAGGUUAUCCUCAGAACUCAGUUCUCCCCCUAGGUUUGCCUGGCUGUGUUUGGGAAUGAGCGAUUCCCCCAGGCCCCUCUCCAUCUCUGCCCACCACCACCAGCCUGCUUCCAAUUAAUUUACCACUGAAUCAGAGCUCAACAUUUAUUCUUGGACUUCAAGUCCCAACUUCUUUCUGCUUGCCUGCAUCUCCGUGACCUCAUUCCCAACACACAUCCACUUCUCCUCACCGGGCUCUCCACCAAGGACGGAGCCUGCAGCUUGUCCUGGCCUCUGCUCCAACGCCCACCACGUUAAUGGAAUGACAUGUUCUGCCUGUGAGUGGUGACCUUGAGCCUGGAGCCCAGGUCUCACUCAUCUCUGCACUCCAGUGGCUGGCAUGCAGCAGGUGGGCAGCAAGUGCGGGAGGCAGGGAAAGGAGAAGGGGAGAGAGGGUCGCUCCUUCCUGCUGAUUCAGGUCAACCAGUGUGUUAAGUUCUAUACGUGUUUCCUCUGCCAGAUACUCUUGCACCAGGCGAACACACAGCUCAUGCCCUCAUCUCCUUUAGGCCUCUCCUCCAACGUCAGUUCUCCGAUUUCCUGUACUGCAGUUGCCAGUGAACUGCAUGCUCCCAGACCCCAUCUCAAUCCCUGCUUUUCUCCGUGCUUUCUUGUUCCCUUCCACCACCACUGGUCUUUCUCCAUGCUCUAUUUAUCUACUUUCUCUCACGGAAGUGUCAGCUCAGGUGGGCAGCUAUCUAAUUUCUUCUCUGCUGUGUCCUCCGCGCCUAUUAGAUGCUCACUAACCGUCUGUGGCACGAAUUCACCAAAACCACCUUACCAAAUUUGUUUCUCCCUAUGCACUUCAUAUGGUUCAGGUGUGGUCGUGUGACCUAAGCAGGACCAAUCCAGGAUUGAUUUCAGUGGAGCUGCUGAGAAGAUUGCUUUUCCCACCCACUCUCCCAGCAUCCAGAGCUCCCUGUGACGGGUGAACUGCGUUCCUAUGUUGAUAUGGAGAAGGAGGUGCCACUAUUGCCUGGAGAAUCCCCAUGGACAGAGGAGCCUGGUGGCCUACAGUCCGUGGGGUCGCAAAGAGUCAGACAGGACUUACUAAGCAACAAAAAUGCAGUUCAUGCAUCUUACAGGUGCUGUGAGUGUCAGCGGAUGUGUUAGGUUCCUAGGGCGAGUUAUUACAAACUGAGUGGCUUGAUACUACAAAAAUCUAUCAUUUCCUUAUUGUUAUAAUCUAUUAAACCUAUGGCUUCUGCAGGCUACAAGUCCAAACUUGGCAGGGACACACCCCUCCCAGGUGCUCCAGAGCAAGGUCCAUUCCUUGCCUCCUGCAGCUUCCGGUGGCUCCAGCACUCCUUGGCAUGUGGCCGCGUCACUCUAAUCUCUGCCUCUGUCUUCCGGUAUUCGUCCCUGUGUGUCUGUCUCUGCUUCUCUCAUAAAAGGAUGCUUGUAAUUGCAUUUAGUGCCCAUCUGAGUAAUCCAGGGUAAAUUCCACCUCAAGACCCUUAACUUAACCGCAGCUUUUCCAUAUAAGGAAACCUGAGAAGGCUCUGGGAGAGACGUGGACAUACUUUUUCUCGCUCUAGGAGUCACCAUUCAGCCCUCUAUAUUAUUUGCUUAAAGACCAGAAAAGCAAAGCUUUCCCACCACCACUUCAUUGGCCUGACAGAUAUGUGAUGAAGAGAGUAUUAUCAUCAUAUUACCUCGCUCCCGUCAAGUGUGGAAAUGAUUUUUUAAACGCCAUUUUCUGUGUUUUUAAUUAUCCCAAUUUUCAAAAAUAAUACCAUGCAUAUGGUAAGAAAAACAGUACAGAAACAUGGGAGAUACAGGAGCCCCUUUGCAAUUUUCCUCUUAACUCCAGUUUCACUUUUUAAAUGUAAUCACCAUAUGCAGUCUGCAUAAUCUUCAUAAAUUUUCUAAGCAUAUUCGAGAGCACACACUUUUUUGGCUUCUAACAUUAAGAACAGUGGCGGGGGGCUGGGAUGGCUUAUAUCCUGAAGGCACGACAGCCCUCUGACCUACCAGAAGCUUUCUAAGGACUUCUAGCAAUGCACCACACUUAACCUGUCCCCUACUCUAAGCACUUCAGUUAACUCCAGGAUUUUAAUGUUAUAGAUACUCUCUGGUAUCUGUCCAGCUAUACACCAUUGGAUACACUCCUAGACGUGGGAUUUCCAGGUCAAUGUGUACAUUUUAAAUUUCUACAGCUAUUGCCCAGUGCCAUUCACCAAGGUGGUGAAAUUCACACGCCCAUCAACAAUGCACAGGUGGGGGUGUCUGUUGCCAACACCCUCGCCCAUCCUGUCAAGACAGCAGCGUGUCAGAUCUCAAACUCAGGUAAGCGGACUUUCCAUGUGGGCCUGGUGGGGUGGACAUAGCCUGUGAGGUUUUCCCUGUAGCUGUCUGAGGCACUGAGCUGCUCAGAGCUCUCGUUUAGGUUUUAUAAACAAAGACAGAGUCUGGGGAGGUGAGCCAGAACCAUGCAGUGAGACGCAUUGUGCAACUCAGUAUUUAUUUCUUUAGCACAGCUAGAACUUAAAUAUGGUCAAAACAUAUUCUCCUUUUAAUUUACACAAACAAAUAUGUUCCCGGGCUGACACCUCUGGUGCCAAGUUUCUAGGGGAAACGAAAUUCUACUGUGAGAUGAGAAACCACCAGGGAGAAGAUGAGGGUGGAAAAGCCACCACCGUCUGCUUCGCACGUCCGAGCUGGGCUUCUCAGAGGGGUGUUUCAGAACUGGGCUGCUGCCUCUUGCUCUCUUUCUGUCUUUGUUGCAGAUAAACCUGCCAGUAAUUUCAGCAAACGAAACGUGGAACAUGUAAAGGCCAAAUGAUGGAAAACACUCCAGUUUUAAUAAAAGGAGGUCUGCUCGGCUGGGACUCCUCUGUCCUGCUAGUCAGGAGAUGCAAAGAUUUAUCCAGAGAGGGGCUGAUGAAUUGAAGAAACAGAAAUGAGGCCAAUGUGAGUUGCCUUUCAAGAGCUGUGCUAAUAUAAAACCAAGCAACUUGAAUUUAUUCCAAGAGGGGAUUAAAGCAACAUGUUAUUUUGAGUGAUUGCUUAAUUUAUUGAGCUGUGGCUAGAUCGGUAAUGAAAUACAGCCCUUGCAACUGAUAACCUCUAGCUGUAAUUGAACUUCUACAAUUAAGAAAUAUUUUCUGAGAGUUUCUCUGGAACAGCUCAGAAUUUUUAGUCUCUGUGGUCGGGUACAUUUGAGCACUCGUUUUCCGGGCAAGUUUUCCUUUCUUUAAGGAGCGACAGGCUGAUGUUAAUAAGGACAAUAAGCAGCAUUUUACUGAAUGUCUUGUGUAUACCAGGCACUUAAUAUACAUUAUCUCUAGUCUCGACCACAGCCCAAGGAAGUCAUUCGUAUUUGUCCCUGUUUUAUAAAGAUGAGGCUCCUAGAUGUUAAGUGAUUUCCCAGAGUGGUGGUGUCCAAGAUGAUAGCUACUGGUCACUUGUGGCUAUUUCUGUGUAAAUUAGUUUAAAAUGUUUUAAUCUAAAAUUUCACUGCUUAGGUUGCACUAAUAACUAUACAGGGCUAGUGGCCACCACAUUGGAUGGUGCAGAUAUAGAUCAUUUCGAUUACUGCAGAAAGUUCCAUUGCUCAGCGCCAUUCCAGAGAUUUCCUAGGUAGAGACAGGCAGUGCUAGGUUUCAACCUCAAGCUAAUGGGCUUUGAAGGCAGCAUCUACCAUAGCCCUUGUUUCCUUCUCUUCCUUUGGCUGAGAAGGAAGGACUAGAGCAGUGAUUCUAAACCCUGGCUGCACAUUAAAAUCACCUGGACUCUUAUGUAAUAUCCUAUCUGGCCAUUUUAAUGACUAUAUUCCAGAUAGGCAAAAUAGCUGCAAGACUGAAUUAUUUCCUUUAUCAAUGUUUUAUUAUCUGUUAACAUAACUAUACUGACUUUCUAAAAUUUUGGUGAAUUGAACAUUAAAAAAAAAAUUACCUGGACUGGAACUUCCCUGGUAGUCCAGGAAAGCAUGGAUCUGCCCUCUCGAUUCGGGGAGCAGGGCAGGGGGGCACUGGGUUCGACUCCUGGUCAAGGAACUAGAUCCCACAUGCCACAACUAAGACCCAGCACAGCCACAUAAAUAAAAUUACCUGGACUGCUUUUUAAAAAAGUGUUAGGGUCCCAGCCCCAGAGAUUCUGACUUAAUUGUGAUUGAGAGGGGUUUUUAUAAUUCCUCAUGUGACUCAAAUGUGCUUUGUGGAUUAAGAGCAAUCAGAUGUGAGGCUCCACACACAAGAUCGUGAAAGGCGCUGGCUCAUUUGCCGUGAGAAUGUGAUCCCUUGCGGACCACAACUUGGGCUUCUCUCAGAGCCGCUUCUAAACCUCCUCAUCAGAGACAGGCUCAUUUCUGAGGGGAAGACUUAAGUGCUUUCUCACAUGCUUCCUGCUUGAUGGGAGAUCCAGUGGGGAGCUCUGCUUUUAGAAACAGGCUCUGUCGCACAGUCAUGCAAGAAAAGAGAUGUGGAUGUAAGAUCAUAGAGAUGAAGUGAAAAACCUGGAGUCCCCAGUCCAAAUGGGAAGUAUUGGUAUUACAAAAUAAUAGAUUGGUAUUACAUUUUGCCUUACAAAAUAAAGCGUGUGUUUCCUAUCCCUGUCCACUGAAAAGGUUUGACGUAAUGGGCAAUUCAGGAACAGCGAGCACUCGCAGCACCCACACUGUGGUCUCUAAACCCCACUUCUAACUAGAAGUGCUGUGUAGAGAGAGGGCAGACUCCAGGUCUGAGGCAGGAAAUGUGGAGGAUGAGCCUGAACAGCUUGGCAUCCAGGUGGCUCAGAAACUCACAGACUUAAGGGGACUUGUCAGAAAGGAGUCAGGAAGACAAUGUGAAGAGAUUCCCACUGGCCAAAGAUGGGACAUUUUGAGCAUCGGUAAGUAUAAUAACUGCAGUGGAAGAAAAUGGGUUAUGUAUGUCCAAACCUGUAAGUUCACAAUGAUACUUAGAAAAACAGGAAAACAUAAACUCAUUUGUCAUCUUUGGAGGAUGUUGGGACCAACUUUUUUUUUUUUAAUCUCAGUUCCCAGACCAGGGAUUGAACCCAGGUCAUGGCAGCAAAAGCCUGGAAUCCCAACCACUAGGCCACCCGAGAACUCCCUGGGAGCAGCUUCUUAGUUUGAAAACUGUCAAAUAAAGAGGAAAGAGUCAAGCAUUUCCACGAAGUAAGUACUAUUCUUCCAACUAUUUUAUGGAGGAAGUGAGAUACUUGCCCGGGGCUGCACUGUGGGUACAUGGCCCUGCCUUCUUUGCUCAGCCCUCUGCAUUGAUUCGGUUCUGAGAUGCAGCAGCAGGGCCAGGAAACCAGAACUUCCAGGAGAUGAAAAGCUCACCAGGUCAAACUCCAUUUUGCAGUUAAGGAAGCAGUGGCCCAGAGAGACCAAGUAACUUACUCCAAGCCACACAGCAAACUGGCCGCUUAACCUGUGUCCAAGCUGCUUGGGGAAGUCCCACAUGCUAAGGGAGGCUGCUUCCUGCCCCAUUUCAGCCUGUCCCAGGGUGGGGUGACCAGUCAUCUCGGGGUUUCCCAGGACUGGGAACUUUAGGUGCUUAAAUCAAGCGAGUUCAGAGCCAACUGGGAUGAGUCAGUCACUCUGUCUCAGAGCGAGGCAUCUAAAGGGAUGUUUUCUAGGACGUGAGAACCAGCGCCAAGUCCCCACAGAAGUAUUGGGGUUUCAUGCCUUAUAUAAUUAAAACUGAUUAUUAAUAUCUAGGCUCCCCCACCCCAGCCAGACUCCCCACCCACGGGAGGCAGGGACUGGUAUGUAAUGCACACUUCUGUUUUACAGCCCCUGAUUCAACGGUGACACAUGAAUGAUGCUCAGUAAACAGUCAUCAAAUGGACCGACCGACCAGGCUAUCACCACCUCUGACUGCGCCUCCAUCUGAAGUUGCAGAAACCCUCUAUAGCCACCGUGACCUCCAGUUCCCAUUUCAGACAGGCUGACAUCCACGAUGUCAUAUGAUAGAAGGUGACUCCAGAGAGACUGCCGACAAGGCUCCUUGAGGGAGCUAUGGCAAACGAGUGGGUGUGGUUUUUCUUUAAUUAUUGUACCUGUUUUGUCUGUUCUUUCUUGGCUCUGUUCACAUCCCCACCCCAGCGCCAGUGCAGAAAGAAAAAAAAAAAAAAAAAAACAGAACAAAAACAAAACAUCGCAGAGUUUGAGACAAGAUAGCUGGCCCAUUCCCUCUCUGCUUGUAAUUAAUGCUGAAAAUGACUUGCCUUGGCCACAAAGGUAAUAAUAAAGUCAGGAAGUCUGA